rnacentral:rRNA from 1 species
AUUGAACGCUGGCGGCAGGCCUAACACAUGCAAGUCGAGCGGCGCGGCGGACGGGUGCGUAAUGCCUAUGAAUCUGCCUGGUCGUGGGGGAUAAGGUCCGGAACUGGGCGCUAAUACCGCAACCUAUCAGAUUAGCCUAGGUGGGAUUAGCUUGUUGGUGGGGUAAAGGCGUAGCAAGGCGACGAUCCGUAACUGGGCUGAGAGGAUGAUCAGUCACACUGGAACUGAGACACGGUCCAGACUCCUACGGGAGGCAGCAGUGGGGAAUAUUGGACAAUGGGCGAAAGCCUGAUGCAGCCAUGCCGCGUGUGUGAAGAAGGCCUUCGGAUUGUAAAGCACUUUAAGUUGGGAGGCGUUACCAACAGAAGAAGCACCGGCUAACUCCGUGCCAGCCGCCGCGGUAAUUC